GGUUGUGUAGCUCAGUGGUAGAGCUCUUGCCCCGCAUGCAUGAGGCACUGGGUUCGAUCCUCAGCACCACAU
rnacentral:tRNA from 1 species